AUACAGUUCAUGUAUAGCAUAGAGAUUCUUUACAAAAUUUUUUAAACUAAAUGAAGAAUCAUUAGAGCCUACAUCUUCAAAUUUAAAUGCAAAGUACUACCAUUAUGACAUAAGCAAAUAAAAUGGACCUAGAAGAAAAUAAAAAUUUUUUAUUAUUUCAAUAUGAGUGUUCAGUUGUACAAAAUAAGAAAAUAUAAGAAAUUUAAUAACAUGAUUUGCUGAUUCCAAAUAUUGAUUUUUAUGAAUUUAUCUACAUCUAUUUAGAAUUAAUAUUUAACCGCUACUUUUUUUUUUAAAUAAAAGGCUGAAUUAGAACCAUUUACAAAGGCUACAGCUCUAACUAGAAAGUCAGAGGAUGAAGUUGAGGAAAAGGAUGUGUUUUCUCCAGAUUAUACAGGAUAUUGUGUAACAUCAAAACGGAAUGGUGAGGUUGUAUGGGAAAUGCAAGAUCUUCACAUCAAACUAAAGAAAGCUAUUGAAAAGUCAAGGUUGGAGUGUGUAUU